GGAUCCAGACUUUGAUUCUGGCUCAGGACGAACGCUGGCGGCGUGCCUAACACAUGCAAGUCGAGCGGAGACAGGGAGUAGCUUGCUAUGAGCUGUUUUAGCGGCGGACGGGUGAGUAACGCGUGAGCAACCUUUCCCAGACAGGGGAAUAACACACCGAAAGGUGUACUAAUACCGCAUAAGACCACGGGAUCACAUGGUUCUGAGGUAAAAGAUUUAUCGGUUUGGGGUGGGCUCGCGUCCGAUUAGGUAGUUGGUGAGGUAACGGCCCACCAAGCCGACGAUCGGUAGCCGACCUGAGAGGGUGAUCGGCCACAUUGGGACUGAGACACGGCCCAAACUCCUACGGGAGGCAGCAGUGGGGAAUAUUGGGCAAUGGAGGAAACUCUGACCCAGCAACGCCGCGUGGAGGAAGAAGGUUUUCGGAUCGUAAACUCCUGUCCUUGGAGACGAGUAGAAGUCGGUAUCCAAGGAGGAAGCCCCGGCUAACUACGUGCCAGCAGCCGCGGUAAUACGUAGGGGGCAAGCGUUGUCCGGAAUAAUUGGGCGUAAAGGGCGCGUAGGCGGCUCGGUAAGUCUGGAGUGAAAGUCCUGCUUUUAAGGUGGGAAUUGCUUUGGAUACUGUCGGGCUUGAGUGCAGGAGAGGUUAGUGGAAUUCCCAGUGUAGCGGUGAAAUGCGUAGAGAUUGGGAGGAACACCAGUGGCGAAGGCGACUAACUGGACUGUAACUGACGCUGAGGCGCGAAAGUGUGGGGAGCAAACAGGAUUAGAUACCCUGGUAGUCCACACUGUAAACGAUGAAUGCUAGGUGUAGGGGGUAUCGACCCCUUCUGUGCCGCAGUCAACACAAUAAGCAUUCCGCCUGGGGAGUACGGAAGCGGGGUUGCAACUCAAAGGAAUUGACGG
rnacentral:rRNA from 1 species